rnacentral:rRNA from 1 species
UACGGAGGGUGCGAGCGUUGUCCGGAAUCACUGGGCGUAAAGGGCGCGUAGGCGGCCGUGUAAGUCACUUGUGAAAUCCCGGGGCUCAACUCCGGGGCUGCAGGUGAGACUGCGUGGCUAGAGCUUGGUAGAGGCGAGUGGAAUUCCCGGUGUAGCGGUGGAAUGCGUAGAUAUCGGGAAGAACACCGGUGGCGAAGGCGGCGACCUGGACAAGUACUGACACUCAACUACGAAAGCGUGGGGAGCAAACAGG